GUAGAGAUGGGGGCUCGCAUGACCCGCGCCUUCAGGAACUUCAACGUGGAGAAGCGAGCGGAGCAGGAGAUCAGCAAGAGGAAGCCCUCCAUGGCACCCAAGCACCCUUCCACCCGCAGUCUCCUGCAGGAGCACCUGAGUCGUGAGUGCGGCCCCUUCCAGGCCUCCGGUGACAUUGAGGUCGUCCCCGCGCGGGCUCCGGUGGUGGCAGCGGCAAGGAAUCCCAGAGCCCAAGGCAGCCCGUGCUCUCUUCCGGGGUCUGCACAGGAUGCGCGCAGAGUCUCGCCCUAAUGUUUGUCCCUAGAUGUCCAGAUGAUUGUUUUUUUUUAAUUGUCAUACAUGUUUACGAUUUUAGGGAUAUUUUUUUCUUUAAAAAAAAAUUACGGCCUUUUUUCUUUCCCUAGAGUAUCCAGAAAUCGAGGAAGAAGUUUCUAGAAAAGAUAACAAGCUGCUGUCCUUACUAAGAGAUGUAUAUGUCAAUUCCAAAGAUCCGGUGCCUUCCUUGCCGGUAAAAGCCAUUGAACCACAGCAACAACCAAAGGAGUUCAGAUUGCCGAUAGGAGAUCAAUUUGACAAGAAUAUCAAGGACAUUCCCAAAGGCAAGAUCACUGUUGUAGAAGCACUGACCCUUCUCAAUAACCAUAAACUCUCUCCAGAGACAUGGACUGCUGAGAAAAUCGCCCAGGAAUACCAUUUAGAACUGGAGGAUGUAAAUUCCCUUCUCAAAUAUUUCGUUACUUUUGAAGUCAAAAUCGUUCCUCCUGAAGACAGGAAAGCAAUACAAUCAAAGUGAAGAAAAUCACAAAACGAUUUCCUAUGUGCGCUCCCAAGCUCUGAGUCCUUGUUUUUCGUGUAUAUAAAUUAUACAAGUUACUGUGAUUGUGAUUAUAACUUGGAUAGCCCUUUGAUCUCUUCAGGAUUGUUCAUAUAAUUUUUUUUUUAAUUUAUGUGUAGUUCCUGGCUGUAUGUCAGUGUUGAUCAUGUGACUGAUUCAAUAUUAAGUUUCACUUUCCAAUUUAGGAUGGUUUGUUCUUUGGAGGAGACACUGAAAGAAGAGCCCUCCCUCCUGACUCCUAUAAGACUGGCAUUGUGCUAGGGACAGAUAAUCAGCAAUGAGACAUAGUGACUAUAUUUCCCAAGUGAAGAAAGAGAGAAAACUGAGUGCAAAGGAAGAAAAAUAUAUAUUAGUACUCAACAAAAUAAAAAUCCGUGAGGGUUUUUAAUGUUUUAAAUAUGAAAUCACUUUUUAGAAUUAUUAUUAGUAUCUGUGACCUACUAGCUGUCUCUUGACAAAUAGAAAUAGGUAACUUGAAAAGUUUUCUGAGAGGCAAUACUUAAGACUAUUUGAACAAAAUAACUUCCUUUAAUUUAGAAAUGAGAGAAAUAUUAAUAGCUAAAAAUAAGAGGAUCCGAUUUGAUAACCAAAUAUUUAUACCUGUUUUCAUUCUAGGAGAAAAAGUAGCCAGUAGAAGUAUAAAAUCCCUGAAGGGACCUAGAAAGUUACUGAUUCAUUCACUUAAACUCGAGUCUGACACAUUCCAGUAUUAGAAUCUCAAAUGAGGUAAUAUGAGUUUGGUUCAUUCUGGCAUGCUGUACCUGUGGGUUCUUGGCCACAUUGUUUGACCUCUCUGAAAGUGAAUUUCUGUAAAAGUAGAACUCUGCUUAUGUAAAUUCCAGGACAACAGUGAAGUUAAAUGGCAAAAGGCCAGGCGAGCACAGAGUCUUAUAGUUAAAAUGGGUGUCUACAGAACUUAUGAUGGAGUUGUCUAUAGUUUAUGAUGCAAGGAGACCAGAAUUUAGGUUCUCAGAAUCCUACUCGUAUUUUUAUUUAUUCUGCCAAAUGAAACCCAUUUCAAGAGGACAGAAUGGAGUUGGGGGAACUGGGCUUGUCCAAAUUCUUUCAAGGGAACAAACAGACAUAUUUGCCUCGAGAUUCCCCUGGAAAUGAUGUGGAAGAUGAGAGGAAUUCAGCAUGGUGAUGGAGGGAGGCAGAGUAACAGCGAAGAGGGGAGAUGAAUGGAAAGUUUGUAAGGUUUUUCAGAUCUAGGUCCAGUGAACAAACUAUACCUACUUAUUUGUGGUUCGGUACAGAAGUUUAAGAGAACAUGCUAAGUCUAAUCAUUGCAAAUUAUAUUGGACAAUAUAGUCAAAACCAUCUUCCUUCAAUUCAAAAUAAGUAUGUGAAUCAGUAGUACUGACUCGUGUUUCCUAGGUGGUUAGCAGAUAUAAAUACGGUUUCUUAUACGGUAUCACAAUAAAAUCCUUCCAUUUUACUCAUUAGCCCACUUUUCUGUUCCUUUUUUGGUUUUUUGUUUGUUUGUUUGUUUCAUAUAGAACACUAAUUGUAAUGUCACAGAAAAUGUGCAGAAUUCAUAUUUGGAAAAACAAAGAGUUUAGAUUUCAGUUCCAU
rnacentral:lncRNA from 1 species